CACAAUGGGCGCAAGCCUGAUGCAGCAACGCCGCGUGCGGGAUGACGGCCUUCGGGUUGUAAACCGCUUUCAGUUCCGACGAAGCGCAAGUGACGGUAGGAACAGAAGAAGGACCGGCCAACUACGUGCCAGCAGCCGCGGUGAUACGUAGGGUCCGAGCGUUGUCCGGAAUUAUUGGGCGUAAAGGGCUUGUAGGCGGUUUGUCACGUCGGAAGUGAAAACUCAGGGCUUAACCCUGAGCCUGCCUCCGAUACGGGCAAACUAGAGGAAUGCAGGGGAGAAUGGAAUUCCUGGUGGAGCGGUGGAAUGCGCAGAUAUCAGGAGGAACACCGGUGGCGAAGGCGGUUCUCUGGGCAUUUCCUGACGCUGAGAAGCGAAAGCGUGGGGAGCAAACAGGCUUAGAUACCCUGGUAGUCCACGCCGUAAACGGUGGGCACUAGGUGUGGGGAACAUUCCACGUUCUCCGUGCCGAAGCUAACGCAUUAAGUGCCCCGCCUGGGGAGUACGGCCGCAAGGCUA
rnacentral:rRNA from 1 species